rnacentral:rRNA from 1 species
UCGAGCGGACAGAAGGGAGCUUGCUCCCGGAAGUCAGCGGCGGACGGGUGAGUAACACGUAGGUAACCUGCCCCUUAGACUGGGAUAACUCCGGGAAACCGGAGCUAAUACGGGAUAAUAAAGAGAAUCACCUGAUUCUCUUUUGAAAGACGGUUUCGGCUGUCACUAAGGGAUGGGCCUGCGGCGCAUUAGCUAGUUGGUAAGGUAACGGCUUACCAAGGCGACGAUGCGUAGCCGACCUGAGAGGGUGAUCGGCCACACUGGGACUGAGACACGGCCCAGACUCCUACGGGAGGCAGCAGUAGGGAAUCUUCCGCAAUGGACGAAAGUCUGACGGAGCAACGCCGCGUGAGUGAGGAAGGCCUUCGGGUCGUAAAGCUCUGUUGUGAGGGAAGAACAAGUACCGGCGUAACUACCGGUACCUUGACGGUACCUCACCAGAAAGCCACGGCUAACUACGUGCCAGCAGCCGCGGUAAUACGUAGGUGGCAAGCGUUGUCCGGAAUUAUUGGGCGUAAAGCGCGCGCAGGCGGCUUCUUAAGUCUGAUGUGAAAUCUCGGGGCUCAACCCCGAGCGGCCAUUGGAAACUGGGAAGCUU